rnacentral:rRNA from 1 species
AGAGUUUGAUCAUGGCUCAGAACGAACGCUGGCGGCAUGGAUUAGGCAUGCAAGUCGAAGAUAGAUCAAUCGCAAGAACGAUCGAGAGUGGCGAAAGGGUGAGUAACACGUGAGUAACUGCCCCCAAGUCGGGAAUAACCAGCCGAAAGGCUGGCUAAUACCGGAUGUGAAGCGCAGUCGCAUGGCCUGUUCUUUAAAGAUUCAUCGCUUGGGGAUAGGCUCGCGUCCCAUUAGCUGUUGGUAGGGUAAUGGCCUACCAAGGCGAUGAUGGGUAGCUGGUCUGAGAGGACGAUCACCACACUGGGACUGAGACACUGCCCAGACUCCUACGGGAGGCUGCAGUCGAGAAUCUUCGCAAUGCGCGAAAGCGUGACGGAGCAAUGCCGCGUGCAGGAUGAAGGCCUUCGGGUCGUAACUGCUGUCACCGGGGAAGAAUACAUGACGGUACCCGGAGAGGAAGCCACGGCUAACUCGUGCCAGCAGCCGCGGUAA